rnacentral:misc_RNA from 1 species
UUCUAGCCCAAAGGUCCAAAGUC